rnacentral:rRNA from 1 species
ACGCUCGACACCUACGGGAGGCGGCAGUGGGGAAUAUUGCACAAUGGGGGAAACCCUGAUGCAGCGACGCCGCGUGGAGGAAGAAGGUCUUCGGAUUGUAAACUCCUGUUGUUGGGGAAAAAGAGGAUGGUACCCAACAAGGAAGUGACGGCUAACUACGUACCAGCAGCCGCGGUAAUCUGAGCGGGCUGGCAAGGC